rnacentral:lncRNA from 1 species
CUCAGGGACUCACAGUGAAGCUCCAGCAGGUCCCCCACCACAGUGUGGGCCCUGGGAGCCCUGAAGGAGACCUUAGUGGCUGACAGAGAACCUAAACCCUGGCUUGCAACUCGAGGCUGUGUGAAAGGAAUCGGAACUUACUUCUCACGGUGACUCGAAUCCACGUGCUGAGGAUGGGGCUGUGAACGUUAUCAGCUGCACAGUAGUAUCUCCCUGCAUCACUCUCCUUCACGGUGAGAACAUGCAGCUCUGCCAACAGGGAACGCUGGGUCUUUCUACCCAGGCUUCUUACUCUUCCUUCUUUGUGCCAGGAGAAUGUGACAGUCCCUGAACCCUGGGCUACUGAGCAAAUAAGGACCAUAUUUUCUCCUUCAAUCAGCUGCCCUCCGGUGGGCCGGAUCUCUAGAUUCACAUUAGACACAGGGACUCCUGGGGGAACACAAGAUGGCAUGUGAAGGUCCUGAUGGCAGGGACAUCAAGGUCAAGGGGAAGGCUGGAGCUACCAUGAAUAGGCCAAUAGCAGCAGGUGCAGCAGGCAGAAGCCCAAAGUAGGAAAUAAG